AUUAUACGGCGAAACUGCGAAUGGCUCAUUAUAUAAGUUAUCGUUUAUUUGAUAGCACAUUACUACUUGGAUAACCGUGGUAAUUCUAGAGCUAAUACAUGCUAAAAAUCCCGACUUCGGAAGGGAUGUAUUUAUUAGAUUAAAAACCAAUGCCCUCUGGGCUCUCUGGUGAAUCAUGAUAACUGCUCGAAUCGCAGGGCCUCGUGCCGGCGAUGGUUCAUUCAAAUUUCUUCCCUAUCAACUUUCGAUGUUUGGGUAUUGGCCAAACAUGGUUACAACGGGUAACGGAGGGUUAGGGCUCGACCCCGGAGAAGGAGCCUGAGAGACGGCUACUACAUCCAAGGAAGGCAGCAGGCGCGCAAAUUACCCAAUCCCGACACGGGGAGGUAGUGACAAUAAAUACUGAUACAGGGCUCUUUCGGGUCUUGUAAUUGGAAUGAGUACAAUUUAAAUCCCUUAACGAGGAACAAUUGGAGGGCAAGUCUGGUGAACGUUUUGCUGGUGCCAGAGAGAGCUACCCCUCCUGUGGGCGAUGGAAGAAGAUAGCUAGUCGCGCGCUCGAUCAGUGACGGGUGAGCGCCGGCGAGACAACCUGGAUCGGGGAAGCCUAAGGGCGCUGAAAGAAGCGCCUACGGUGAUCCCGAGCAGAGCCCCGCGGCCAGCGUGCCGGAGGGCCUGUGUAGAGCGCGCCAAGGUGUCGGUCCCUCCUCAAGGGGGGGCUUAAGGUACGUGCCAAUCCCCUGCGAAAGCAGGGCCCUGCGGAGUAGCACCCGUCGUGCGAAGCCGUAGGGGAGGACGCCCAAGGCGCCUCCGUGACAUAGUGGCCAGCAGCCGCGGUAAUUCCAGCUCCAAUAGCGUAUAUUAAAGUUGUUGUGGUUAAAAAGCUCGUAGUUGAACCUUGGGCCUGGCUGGCCGGUCCGCCUCACCGCGUGUACUGGUCCGGCCGGGCCUUUCCCUCUGUGGAACCCCAUGCCCUUCACUGGGCGUGGCGGGGAAACAGGACUUUUACUUUGAAAAAAUUAGAGUGCUCCAGGCAGGCCUAUGCUCGAAUACAUUAGCAUGGAAUAAUAGAAUAGGACGUGCGGUUCUAUUUUGUUGGUUUCUAGGACCGCCGUAAUGAUUAAUAGGGACAGUCGGGGGCAUCAGUAUUCAAUUGUCAGAGGUGAAAUUCUUGGAUCUAUUGAAGACUAACUACUGCGAAAGCAUUUGCCAAGGAUGUUUUCAUUAAUCAGGAACGAAAGUUAGGGGAUCGAAGACGAUCAGAUACCGUCGUAGUCUUAACCAUAAACUAUGCCGACUAGGGAUCGGACGAUGUUAUUUUUUGACUCGUUCGGCACCUUACGAGAAAUCAAAGUGC
rnacentral:rRNA from 1 species